UUCGGGCUGACCUUGAUCUCGUUGGACUCCGUUCGUCGUCGCGGACCUUGCUAUGGGCUCAAUGUGGAUCGAAUCUCGAGGCAUCAAAUCCUAAUACAAAUAAGAGUAUACUCAAAACUAAACCCUAUACAAAGAUAUGCAAAUUUCCACAAGGUGAAAGUCUUUGUGCACCGCGUGUGGUGCAAUAAUAUUGAUGUAGAGCGUACCUUCC
rnacentral:lncRNA from 1 species